rnacentral:sRNA from 1 species
GUUCCAUCAAGUUCUCCAUCUUCCUCUGCAGUUGCUUCCUGGUAUUGCUGGUAUUCUGAGACAAGAUCGUUCAUAUUACUCUCAGCUUCAGUGAAUUCCAUCUC